rnacentral:rRNA from 1 species
CCCUUAGAUGUUCUGGGCUGCACGCGCGCUACACUGAUGCGAUCAACAAGUUUUUCCUAUGUCGAUAGACACGGGUAAUCUUUUGAACUCGCAUCGUGAUGGGGAUAGAUUAUUGUAAUUAUUAAUCUUCAACGAGGAAUUCCUAGUAGGUGCAAAUCAUCAGUUUGCAUCGAUUACGUCCCUGCCCUUUGUACACACCGCCCGUCGCUGCUACCGAUUGGCUGAUCUGGUGAAUUAUUCGGACUGCCGGCUGAAGGGGUUUCCUCAUCUGCCAGCGGAAAGUCUUGUUAACCCUAUCAACUAGAGGAAGCAGAAGUCGUAACA